rnacentral:lncRNA from 1 species
CUGGACAACAUUGCCAUUGGAGGAAGAAGAGAGUGAGUUGCUACCAUACGACAUGCAUUUAGCGGGCCUAAAUUUAAUCGUGAUUGAAGUUUGAUUGAGCAAUUUGAUGUUGUUUAGAGGUCUAAGUGGAUAGAGCACUCUACAAGGAUAUUUUUGGAUUUUCAUGAUUAGAAUCUCACAUCGGGGACUAUAAGUCAUAAAAUGGUCUAUCUGUAGACCAAAAAUACAAGUCUCAGCC